UACAGAGGUCCCGAGCGUUGUUCGGAUUCAUUGGGCGUAAAGGGUGCGUAGGCGGCUUUGCAAGUCGGGUGUGAAAUCCCCAGGCUUAACCUGGGAACUGCAUUCGAGACUGCAUUGCUAGAGUAUGGGAGAGGGAAGUGGAAUUUCCGGUGUAGCGGUGAAAUGCGUAGAUAUCGGAAGGAACAUCAGUGGCGAAAGCGACUUCCUGGACCAAUACUGACGCUCAUGUGCGAAAGCGUGGGGAGCAAACAGG
rnacentral:rRNA from 1 species